UUAAAUAGCAGCCAUUGUCGGCUUCCCUUGCGGUCUGACUGGUUGGAGUGUAUCACCCCUCUAGAUCCCUGGUUGUUGGCAGGUAAGCGUGGGUUUUAUCUAUAUGAUGUGUCUUUAUGUAGCAGACUCUAAUGUUUCAUGCAUCUAUGUAAUAGGUUCCUAUUGCCGGCACUGAACCUCAGGCAAAUAUCUCGCCACUUCCUCCUGUUGUAAACCUUGGUUGCCUUGAUCAGGUGCGUUUCACCUUACAUGUACGCAGUGUUUAGUUGUGUUGUUGAUGGUUUUAGUAUUUUAAUUUGCCGAUCGUUAACAGGACGGCUUGAUGCGGAGAUGACCGAUUGAAAGACGAGCUUUCUUAGACUUGGUGCAAGGUAAUAUCCACCCAUUGUUAUGGAAUGCACUGAACGCCUGCUCCACGCUGUUUAUUGAAAUGUUUGAUGUUAAUAUUGGCUCCGUUUGCUUUUAGGAAGAACUCCCGUUAAUGCCACUGCUGUUUUGCCAUAUGUAUUUUGUUUCUGUGAUUUAUGUAACUUGUCUGCAUGCCUGCUUAACACCCCAGAUAGCAAGCAUAGUCGGCCCGAUUCUGGCUGAGUGCCGGCAGUGUCGGCCGAGGUCCGGAUCGGCUGAAGCACAGCAAACACAGUCGGCCCGAUCCUGGCUGAGUGCUGCCACUGUCGGCGGAGCUUCAAUCGGCUGAGGCACUGUACCCCCGUUGAAUGGGCCGACACUGACACGCAGCAGUUGGGCUGAUUACUUUGUUUCUUACUCGGCCCGAUUGUGGUUUGACGGGCUACUGCCGGUGUUCGAAGCAAGCUCGGCUGAAGAACAACAAACACUGUCGGCCCGAUCCUGGCUGAGUGCUGCCACUGUCGGUGGAGUUUCAGUCGGCUGAGGCACGUACCCCCGUUGACUGGGCCGACACUGACAUGCAGUAGUUGGGCUGAAUACUUUGCAUCUUACUUGGCCCGAUUAUGGUUUGAUGGGCUACUGCCGGAGUUCGGCAGACGGAUCUCAUACAGCGUGUGGGCCGAUACUUAAAGAACGGACACUGAUCAGUAGCAUUGAUGUUGGCGGCAAAAUUGAAAUAUUAAACGACAGACGGAAACUAAACGUACAUGGCCCGAUUCUGUAAAGUGACUGUCGGCCCAUUACAUGUGGAAGAGCGGUGGAACAACUAUUAACUGAAGAUUGAAACCAGAACGGCGCGAAACUGUCUCGUUUUGGACACUGGCUGUGGCAGCACGGACCAGAGACCUGCUUCUUUGGAUGAAGCUUAGUGGUGGCGUUGGAAGACAGGAGAUAUAUGUUUUGGGUUUGCGUCAUCCACUACGUCGGCAAAGAACAGGAUCGGGAAAUGACUACAUGGCCAACUGCAUCUUGUGGAAGUUGUUCUGAAGAUGCGAUGCGUGAAGGAAGGAAGUCCACAAGCAUGUGUGCUUCAGUUCAUGCAUUUCGGCUGGCUGAAUGGGAAGAACUCUUUGACCAACCCCCAACUGAGAGAGCUGAGCGAAGUGGCUAUCAGUAAGUCUAUUUGUGGGGACAGACUUACUCUGACAGAUGACAUCUUACAAAUUAUGCUGUAGAUCUCAUAAUGAUCUUGCAAUAUGUAUUCUUUUAUAACUAAAUGCAGUUUGGAGAUACUCCCCAGCUGCUAGUGAUGAUGCAACAUGUGGAGGCAAUAACUAAGUAGCAACAGAAAGAUAAGGCGCUUUGAGUGUGUGUGUGUGUGUGUGUGUGUGUGUGUGUGUGUGUGUGUGUGUGUGUGUGUGUGUGUGUGUGUGUGUGUGUGUGUUGGUGUGUGUUGGUGUGUGUUGGUGUGUGUGUUAGCCUGCUAGGUUAUGGUACAUGGUAACCCACAGCCCACCCCGCUACGGACAUUGAAAUUACUCUUUUAGAGAGAGUGAUAAUUAAUGACAGAAUAUUUCUGUAAAUGUUUGACCAUGUUUAUUAUUUUUUUAAAAAAACAUUAUUUAUAGAAUGUUCAUUUGUUUUACUUAAUCUGUGAAAUUGUGUAGAAUUGGUAAGAAAGUAACUUUUUAAGCUUGGAUUUUUGUUCUAAUGUUUGAAUUAAUUUAGAUUUUACUUGCAAAGGUUGUAUUUGUUAGAAUUAUUAAUAAAAGUAACUUGUGCUUGAAUCACUAGUUCUGCAUUUGUGAUUAUUCUGGUAGUGCUUUUGGUACCAAGCCGACAUUCAGCCAACACUCAGUGAAAUCCGUUUUACAGUGCUCGGGCCUCAAUCGGGCCGGGGACCAGGCCGACAUUCAGCCAACACUCAGUGAAAUCCGUUUUACAGUGCUCGGGCCACAAUCGGGCCGGGGACCAAGCCUACAUUCAGCCAACACUCACUGAAAUCCGUUUCACAGUGCUCGGGCCACAAUCGGGCCGGGGACCAAGCCUACAUUCAGCCAACACUCACUGAAAUCCGUUUCACAGUGCUCGGGCCACAAUCGGGCCGGGGACCAAGCCUACAUUCAGCCAACACUCACUGAAAUCCGUUUCACAGUGCUCGGGCCACAAUCGGGCCGGGGACCAAGCCUACAUUCAGCCAACACUCACUGAAAUCCGUUUUACAGUGUGUGAGCCAGACCUGGGCCAACACAAUGCAUGACAGUCAUUUCACAGUGUGUGGGCCAGACCUGGGCCAACAGAAACAAUAAGAGUCAUUUUACAGUGUGUGGGCCAGACCUGGGCCAACACAAACAAUAAGACUCAUUUCACAGUGUGUGGGCCAGACAUGGGCCAAUAGCAACUAUAAGAGUCAUUUCACAGUGUGUGGGCCAGACCUGGGCCAGAGCAAAUUCAAAGUGUCGGUUAACAGUGAUCGGGCCAUGUCUGGGCCGGGGACCAAACCAGAAGUGGGCCAACACCCACACUACCCUGAGGCAAGGUGUAGGGCCAGAGGUGGGCCGAGCAAAUUUUGCUAUCUGGGACGCUGUCGCGGGUUGAGGCUACGGGUCAGUGUCUGCUUGGCUUGAGCCGUCGCGUCUGCAUGUAUGUCCGUGUUUUUGGCUUGUUUUGGAUCAAAGUACUGUUUUCUGUCUUGUUUGUUAAACCAACUGUGUUCGUUCAAUCCCUCUAAACAAACCCCAAUUAACCAUCCAGUUUCCCCCUCAUAGCCUAGCCCUGUUUGCUGGAGAAAGUACACAUCAGGCCCACGGAUGGUGUCUACCCUCUUUCCUCCUCUCCUCGUUCAACCACUGCAUGCUUAGCGAGGUUUUCUGGUAUUCACCCAUAAUUGCGUGCCUGCACUAUUUGCUUGCUGUGAGUGUGAAUAACAGUGUGUUUGAUGUGGAUGUGUGUGUGUGUGAAUAUUCUCUUUUUUGCACAGGUGAGUGGUGUUUUGAGGUUCUCCUUCACUUUCCAGUGGCUCACCUGAUGCUCUCUCCAUACUGGUAGUAAUUAGAGUACAUUUAGAUUAUAUCCAGUUUUCUAAACCGUAUUUAUUGGAUGUGAUUGAUACGAUAUCAGUAGUGCUCAUCAUUAACUAUUUAUUGGAUAAGUAAUAAAAUAUAUAUUUUUACUAAUUGGCUUUCUUCCCCAGCUUAUUAUUCCACUACAGAUUAAUAAAAGUACUGAACUUGAGAAUUGGGUCUCUGCUCUCUUCUGUUGUAAACGAACUUGGGAAACUGUUCUAGAACUGUAAGGUGGGGUUUCCCCCCCUUUUUGUCCCUCUGGGUGGCGUAGUCGGGUCAUUGUAAUUUGGGGCUAGUGUUGGCCCCGGUCACACCACCAAUAGACCUCUGAAGUUCACCCACAAAAACGACACAAAAAUGGCCAUCUUUGCACAUGAAAGGAGCUCAGGGUAUCAAUAAAAGCUAACUACCUCUGUCAAGAUGCAUCGCAAGUUAGCUCUCUGGCCUGAGUCAACAAAAAUCAACUUGUCAUCUUAACAUACCAAAGAUCACAGUACCCACUCGAUGGCAGAGGGCAAAAGUGUGUAUAAACGUGUCACGGGGUGGAUUAGCUGGGAAAAGUGGGGGAGGGAACUUUAGUUUUUUGGUAGCACACUGAUUGCCUCAAUCAGCACUCGUUGGUGGUUAACGAGUGCAGGUGUGAAGGGGCUAAUUCGAUUGGCUCACCUGGGCUAGGCUGGGGGGUUUUAUGGCCUCUACCUGCAGUCUCAGAAAGGUCUUCACGGGGGAAACACGGGAAGGGGGAACGGCGACGAGCCAUAGCCAACCCAGCUGCAAGGCGGCAGUCGGGAGAGCGUACACACUGGAGAAAAUGGAUCCAAGCGAUAUUCGCGAUGACAAAGAUGGAAAUGUUCUAUCUACAGGGACCUGCGCCAGUGACGUGCGGGUCCGGGUUAAGCCCACGCCGGAAAAGCCAUCGAAUGGAUGCUACGAGGGGGGAAACGAGCUUCUCCCCACAGAGCUAAGUGUCUGCCGUGGUUAUGCCACCGAUGAACUGAACUGCUAUUAUUCCUCGUGACUAUGAAGUUGGCAUUGUUCCCCAUUACCGUGAAGCUACUAUAACUGACUCUGCUAUCGCCCUUCUGUGACUGUUCUGAUAAGUGAAAGACUUUUAAUGAGCACGACCCAUCCCCUGCCACCAGGCCUCAGCCCGCAGGUCUUGCUCCCUCCUGCCCCUUCCAGUUGUAACAGCCUUGCAGUGAUUGUGUGGAGUGUAUUGUGUGCCGUGAUGACGCGUGGGUGGAAACGUUUGUACAUGUGCAGUGCUCACAAGUGUGAAUUCUGUUACCUUAUGGGCUUAGGUGGAUCGGCUCACUCUGGCCGCUACCAUGACCUCGACCUUGCUCACAGCGACCGGACAGGGUGAGAGACUGGGACCGGAGCUCCUUGAGUGAAGACGGAGACCUGACUGGGUGACCCCCCUGGUGGCCAUAUGAAAGGACUGCUCUUUGGACAUCGUCCACCUCUUUCAUAAAGACUCUUAUCCUGAUAUCUAAAUAAAUAUAUUUUCUUACACCCAG